rnacentral:rRNA from 1 species
CAGUCGCCGCGGGAAUACGGAGGGUGCAAGCGUUAAUCGGAAUUACUGGGCGUAAAGCGCACGCAGGCGGUCUGACAAGUCAGAUGUGAAAUCCCCGGGCUUAACCUGGGAACUGCAUUUGAAACUGUCAGGCUGGAGUCUUGUAGAGGGGGGUAGAAUUCCAGGUGUAGCGGUGAAAUGCGUAGAGAUCUGGAGGAAUACCGGUGGCGAAGGCGGCCCCCUGGACAAAGACUGACGCUCAGGUGCGAAAGCGUGGGGAGCAAACAGGAUUAGAUACCCGCGUAGUCCCUGUCUCUUAUAC